rnacentral:rRNA from 1 species
CAGCCGCCACGGUAAUACGAAGGGGGCUAGCGUUGCUCGGAAUUACUGGGCGUAAAGGGAGCGUAGGCGGAUCGUUAAGUUGGGGGUGAAAGCCCGGGGCCCAACCUCGGAAUUGCCUUCAAUACUGGCGAUCUUGAGUAUUGGAGAGGUGAGUGGAAUUUCCGGUGUAGCGGUGAAAUGCGUAGAUAUCGGAAGGAACACCUGUGGCGAAAGCGGCUCACUGGACAAUAACUGACGCUGAUGCACGAAAGCUAGGGGAGCAAACAGGAUUAGAUACCCCCGUAGUCCCUGUCUCUUAUAC